GUGUCCGUAGCUCAAUUGGUAGAGCUCUGCUCUGUGGAGGCAGCGGUUGCGGGUUCAAGCCCCGUCGGACACCCA
rnacentral:tRNA from 1 species